UGGGGAAUAUUGCACAAUGGGCGAAAGCCUGAUGCAGCAACGCCGCGUGAGUGAUGAAGGCCUUCGGGUUGUAAAGCUCUUUCUUCUGGGACGAUAAUGACGGUACCAGAGGAGGAAGCCACGGCUAACUACGUGCCAGCAGCCGCGGUAAUACGUAGGUGGCAAGCGUUGUCCGGAUUUACUGGGCGUAAAGGAUGCGUAGGCGGAUACUUAAGUCAGAUGUGAAAAUCCCGGGCUUAACUUGGGAACUGCAUUUGAAACUGGGUAUCUAGAGUGCGGGAGAGGAAAGUGGAAUUCCUAGUGUAGCGGUGAAAUGCGUAGAGAUUAGGAAGAACACCAGUGGCGAAGGCGACUUUCUGGACCGUAACUGACGCUGAGGCAUGAAAGCGUGGGGAGCAAACA
rnacentral:rRNA from 1 species